rnacentral:ncRNA from 1 species
GUAUUGUAUGAAAGGAGAGACUGGUUAGCACUCCCCUUGACAAGGAUGGAAGAGGCCCUUGGGCCUGACAACAAACAUGUAGUUAAGGCAUUGUCACCUGUUUUGUGGCAGCUGAAGCACCAUUUUUA